rnacentral:misc_RNA from 1 species
UCCGGUUUGUCACCGGCAGUCUGCUUAGAGUGCCCACCAUAACGUGCUGGCAACUAAGCAUAAGGGUUGCGCUCGUUGCGGGACUUAACCCAACAUCUCACGACACGAGCUGACGACAACCAUGCACCACCUGUCUCCAAUGCUCCGAAGAGGGGCACUAUCUCUAAUGCCUACAUUGGGAUGUCAAGACCUGGUAAGGUUCUUCGCGUUGCUUCGAAUUAAACCACAUACUCCACUGCUUGUGCGGGUCCCCGUCAAUUCCUUUGAGUUUUAGCCUUGCGGCCGUACUCCCCAGGCGGGGCACUUAAUGCGUUAGCUUCGGCACGGAGGGAGUCGACACCCCCCACACCUAGUGCCCAUCGUUUACAGCGUGGACUAC